rnacentral:lncRNA from 9 species
GUGGGUUUCAGGAGCCGGCGUCACGCUUUCCGAUGUCUUGGGGGCAGCACUGUGACAAUGACGCAUCGCCCGGACCCUCUCGACCGCCAGCCAACUCUGCCGUUGCCCAGCCCUUUGUUCUCGCGGGGAGCACGCAGCGUCCUUGGAGCUGGUGCCAGGCUACAGCCCCUGCGCAGGUGAGAAGAGUGGGCUCAGGGAGGUCCGGUGAUCAGGCCAAGGCUUGGAGACGUGGACAGAGGUGGAGAGAGCCAGUAUGAAGCCGAUCGCCUGCCUGCAGCGUCCACACUGGUGCCCGGCGGGCAGCCCAGAGCACCUGGGCCCUGAAGCCACUCACCCGCCCAGCAGCACCAGGCAGGGUGCUCCAAGCCAGUGGGAGACACGGCUGGCCUUCCUGGAAGGCUGAGAUUAUUUGAAGAGACGAAGCUGGGAAGUGAUCUGACUGGGAAGUGAUUCGGAACCUUAUGUUUAGAUAGGAACAAACACGGUUACACUGUGAACUCGGGUGGAUCUUAAGACGUAACGAGAGACGCUCAUGCUGUACCUGGUCCACCAGCUCUGCUCCUUGACAUGCCGGGGGCAGAUGCUGUGUGACUAGAUCUAAUUAAUGAGGGAUGUGAUGGUGAACCAGAGAGGUCGAGCUACUGGCCCAGGGCUGCCCAGCAGCUAAUGGGCAGAUUGGCCUCUUAAGCACAGCCCACCUGGCCCCAGAGUAUUACAUGGAAGCAAAGGCUGGAACACGGCAACUGGGCUCCCUCCUCUGACAUGUAGCCACUGCACAGAGGCCACUGACCUGCCUGGGGAGGGGGACAUCUGGGCUUGACCCCUGCAGCUCCUGUCACUCAGUUGGCACAACCUGUCCCCUGUGCGCCCCAGGGGCCUGACCCGUGCAAUGGGAGAAGGGACGCAUGCCCAGUGGGUCUGCAGGAGGGGCUAAGGGGCAGAGGGGUGGGCUACAGUUGGCCCAUGCCCAAGCCGUCACCAACCAGUGGUCAACCCUGCCAUCGCCCAGCUGUGUCCCUACUGAUUGCACAUCUCUGCUUUGACCAGAGCAGCCCUGGCCAUGCCUUGUCCCCAGGCUUGGCCUCAGAACCAGGUUGCUGGUCACUGCCACUGUGAUGAACAGGUGCUCAGAGUAGCGGCUGUCCUCUU